GGAUUCAAAACUGAUUAACAUUAAUUUCAAAAUGGCCAAUCUUCUUGUGGUCCUUUUUAUACUUUUACUUCAAAUUACAGGAUUCUUGUGUCAAACUGCUACAGCUGCAAAUCCAGUAUGGGGUAUUGCAGUGUUAGUGCUGGCAGGAAUCACACUCUUUCUAAUUUUGGUGGGCUGUGGUUGUGUGAUUGCCUUCCGACAGAGAUAACAGCCAAUUUGACGAUAUUCCCUACAGGCUGAAAAGAACAGAACAUCAUUUUGGAAAAGCAUAAUCCUAUGUAUUUUUUCAUUAUGAUUAAUGCCAUUGUGUAUAUUUUGGUAUCAGUGAAGAAAUAUUCCCCAGUGUUGCUCAGAUAAGAAAUAGGAAGCCAGUCAACAUCAUACUCCCAACUUUUAUUUUAUUUCUGAUUUCACCAAUUUUCACAACAACUUUACCACUUGUAGUUUUAUUAUUAUGUUUACCCAACACUUAUUAUAUUUAUUUGUAAAAAGAAUGAUUUUCUUUUUUGCACAAUGAUGCAGAUCAAUGUAGGACUGUUGUUGUGUAUAUACACUGUAUAUAGGCAUUCGUUUUGUAAAACUCU